AAUAAUAGACAUGGCUGGAUACGUUAUUGAUAGCGAUUCAGAUGAUAAACUUAUCUAAAUCUAGCUGUCCAACAAUUUUAAAUGUUACUUAUCAUGGGAUGCACCAAAAUGCCAUGAAGAGAACUCUUCUACUUUUUCAAAAUAUAUUCUAGAGCAGACUAUUGAAUUAAUAUAAUUAUAGAUAGAUUAUAAUAAUAGGACUAGAUCUAGUCAAAUCUAGUCACUAGAUUCUAGAUUGUCACUAGAUCCUAGAUCUACUACUCAGAUCUAGACUCUAGAUCUAGACCUAGUCUACUCUAGUAGUAGUCUCUAGUAUCAUCAAGUACUAGUAGAUCAUCUAGGACUAGGUCUAGGUAUACUAUACUUAGACUAUACUAAGUCUAAUAGUUAUAACAAAACUAAAUGAAAACAUAUAUGACAUGUGGCAUACAGACAAGUUUACUAGAUGGAUCUUUCAUCAUUUUGGAAAUACAAUAUUCCCUGUGAAACAAAUCACAGAAACAUUCUACAAUUUUAUUUUAUAUAAUAAAUACCAAUAAAUGUAAAUACAAAAUCACA